rnacentral:rRNA from 1 species
AGGGAAUUUUGCGCAAUGGACGGAAGUCUGACGCAGCAACGCCGCGUGAAGGAUGACGGCCUUCGGGUUGUAAACUUCUGUUGGAUGGGAAAAAAAGCCUAGGAAUAGGAAUUGAUGGUACCAUUCGAGUAAGCACCGGCUAACUACGUGCCAGCAGCCGCGGUAAUACGUAGGGUGCGAGCGUUGUUCGGAAUCACUGGGCGUAAAGGGAGCGUAGGCGGGAUCGUAAGUUAGGAGUUUAAUACAUGGGCUCAACCCGUGAUAUGCUUUUAAUACUGCGGUUCUUGAGUAUGGGAGAGGGUGAUGGAAUUCCAGGUGUAGCGGUGGAAUGCGUAGAUAUCUGGAAGAACACCAGUAGCGAAGGCGGUCACCUGGCCCAAUACUGACGCUGAGGCUCGAAAGCUGGGGGAGCAAAC